AGUGAACGCUGGCGGUAGGCCUAACACAUGCAAGUCGAACGGCAACACAGUAAGAGCUUGCUCUUACGGGUGGCGAGUGGCGGACGGGUGAGGAAUACAUCGGAAUCUACUUUUUCGUGGGGGAUAACGUAGGGAAACUUACGCUAAUACCGCAUACGACCUACGGGUGAAAGCAGGGGAUCUUCGGACCUUGCGCGAUUGAAUGAGCCGAUGUCGGAUUAGCUAGUUGGCGGGGUAAAGGCCCACCAAGGCGACGAUCCGUAGCUGGUCUGAGAGGAUGAUCAGCCACACUGGAACUGAGACACGGUCCAGACUCCUACGGGAGGCAGCAGUGGGGAAUAUUGGACAAUGGGCGCAAGCCUGAUCCAGCCAUACCGCGUGGGUGAAGAAGGCCUUCGGGUUGUAAAGCCCUUUUGUUGGGAAAGAAAAGCAGCAGGUGAAUACCCCGCUGUUCUGACGGUACCCAAAGAAUAAGCACCGGCUAACUUCGUG
rnacentral:rRNA from 1 species